AAAAUAUACUUUCAGGAUGCUGUCGAUUGCCCUGAAUGGAUUGUUCCCUACCAUGUCUUCAAAGCUUUGGGAGAAGAGUAUGAGUUGGACCUAGUUUUCGUGAAGAACUCGCACGAAUCUGUACACGAGUAUUUGAAGAGGCCAGAAUAUGUGGAAUUGAUGCGGACGCUUGGAGCCUUGGGAUGGGAGAUGGUAAUCAAGACCAAAGCACGCUAUCGCCAGAUGAGUGGGAAGUAGCCUAUCUAUACUCGUCAUUUGUGUUGAGGAAGAGAGGCCAACCAGAGAGAUCGCAGGUAAAUGGCGGAAGAGACAAAGGGAAGAUGCAUCUAGAAAAAGAAGAUAUCCUGUAGAUUAAUAACGACCUGUAGACUGACCGUGCCUUUCUUGUCCACAAGGCCCGAUGCAAUAACCCAGCAAAGCAGAGCAUGAAGCAGCAAAUUUUUUACCAUAUUCAAAAAGGCUGUACUUCGUCCUGUUUGCUCCAAUAUUGCAAGCUUCAAAAGGUUACUUCAAA